CAAUAGCGUAUAUUUAAGUUGCUGCAGUUAAAAAGCUCGUAGUUGGAUUUCGGGUGGGAAUGGCCGGUCCGCCGUUUCGGUGUGCACUUGCUACGCCCACCUUGCUGCCGGGGACGUGCUCUUGAGUUCACGCUCGGGACACGGAGUCGGCGAGGUUACUUUGAGUAAAUUAGAGUGUUCAAAGCAGGCCUACGCUCUGAAUACAUUAGCAUGGAAUAACACGAUAGGACUCUGGCCUAUCUUGUUGGUCUGUAGGACCGGAGUAAUGAUUAAGAGGGACAGUCGGGGGCAUUCGUAUUUCAUUGUCAGAGGUGAAAUUCUUGGAUUUACGAAAGACGAACUACUGCGAAAGCAUUUGCCAAGGAUGUUUUCAUUAA
rnacentral:rRNA from 1 species